UACGAAGGGGGCUAGCGUUGCUCGGAAUUACUGGGCGUAAAGCGCACGUAGGCGGAUUGUUAAGUGAGGGGUGAAAUCCCAGGGCUCAACCCUGGAACUGCCUUUCAUACUGGCAAUCUCGAGUCCGGAAGAGGUGAGUGGAAUGCCGAGUGUAGAGGUGAAAUUCGUAGAUAUUCGGCGGAACACCAGUGGCGAAGGCGACUCACUGGCCCGAUACUGACGCUGAGGCGCGAAAGCGUGGGAGCAAACAGG
rnacentral:rRNA from 1 species